CGAGUAAGCCAGACAGUCGCGUGGGGAUUCAUUCUCCAUGAGGAAAGUCCGAGCUCCACAGGGCAGGAUUGUGGGUAACGCCCACCAAAGGCGACUUUAGAGACAGUGCAACAGAGAGAUACCGCCGCUCUUUGAGCGGUAAGGGUGGAAAGGCGAGGUAAGAGCUCACCGGCGCACAGGGUGACCGUGCGGCCAUGUAAACCUAAUCUGGAGCAACACCGAUAGGGGACGAUCUGCGCUUGCCCGGCGCGUCCCGGGAAGGUGGCACGAGCCGUAUGGCAACAUGCGGCCUAGAUAGAUGACUGUCAAAUACAGAACUCGGCUUAUAGACUUAGUCGCACC
rnacentral:RNase_P_RNA from 1 species